UGUCUGAUAUAGUAUUUUUACUACAAAAGCGAUAUUACGUAGGUCAAAAUUUUUGACGUAAGAGAACUGUCAAAACAUUAGAAUGUGACUUUUCUUUAUUGCCGUGUUUACAUGGCAAUAAUGAAAAGUCACAAUCUAAUGUUUUGACAGUUCUCUUACGUCAAAAAUUUUGACCUACGUAAUAUCGCUUUUGUAGUAAAAAUACUAUAAAUUCCCCGCGAACGCACUCGGGUCAUUCAACUGUGUUUCAUCUCUUCAAUGCACACUCUUCCGUCCUGGAUGAAUUUACUCAUAGUCCUCCAAAUACCCUGGAGGUUUUCUUAUUCGAGCUGGUGGCUUCUUGACCUCAGAGGCCUGUUCUCGAAGUUCUGAUUCUGGAUCUACCAAAUCGUUAAGGCCCCGUCUCACCAUCAAAUAAUUAGGUCUGUUCCUUUGUUUUUUAGUGUUACACUUUUGAGUGUAAGUGUACGAAAUUCUAUGGACAUUUGAGUGUAAAAUGACAGCGGAUGUGACAGCGGCUCAUGACAGCGGACAGUAUUAAACGAAAAUUAUCGGUGUGCCAAUCCAAGCAAAGGGAUAAGGAACUUCCGAAUAUGGCCUAACUGGGGGCACAUAACAUAACAUAACCUAAUCCUAAUAUUUACAUUUGUAAAGAAUAUCCUGUUUGUUUUUAUUGUCGAUUGUUCAGCGAAAUUGUGUGCAGCAAAUCAAAUAUAAAGUAGUUUAUCGCCUACAGAACUGAAUUAAUCCAUAGCAGUUAUCAGUUUUUCUUUCUUGGGAAGCUUAUACAUGUAACUUGUAUUGUUGUAAAUUGUGGGAGUAGGGCAGACAGGGAAAAGUCUUAUUUUGUACUGUUCCCAAGGCUCCCCAUGCAAUACAUUUAAAUGAAUUAUCCAAACAAAGCUGGGGACAAUGGAUAAAAGCCACAAGAAGAACAGAUAUAAGGGAACUAAAAUUAAAAUAUGAAAAGUAAACAUUUUAUAAGUGGAACAACCACCAGAUAUUUAAAAGGUAUAAAAAGAAGAAACUGCUGGAAUUUCAAAACAAAUGUGUUUGACUAGUAAAGAUUUGGAUAAAUAACAGGAGUUACUUUGGGCUAUAGCUAAGUGCAGAUUUAUUUCCUUGUGGCUUCCUAUGUUAAUUCUUAUUAAUUAUACACUUAAAUAUGUUUUUAGUCUCAGGAAGAUUUUAUAUUUGAUUAUUUUUGAAUAAACAUUAUUAUUAUUAUUACCUUAAUUUCCAUUAAAUAAAUUAACUGUAAUCAAUAAAGUAAUCGUUUAAUUGUUAAUAAAUUAUCAAGUAUGA